rnacentral:rRNA from 1 species
GACGAACGCUGGCGGCGUGCUUAACACAUGCAAGUCGAACGGAAAGGCCCUGCUUUUGUGGGGUGCUCGAGUGGCGAACGGGUGAGUAACACGUGAGUAACCUGCCCUUGACUUUGGGAUAACUUCAGGAAACUGGGGCUAAUACCGGAUAGGAGCUCCUGCUGCAUGGUGGGGGUUGGAAAGUUUCGGCGGUUGGGGAUGGACUCGCGGCUUAUCAGCUUGUUGGUGGGGCAGUGGCUUACCAAGGCUUUGACGGGUAGCCGGCCUGAGAGGGUGACCGGCCACAUUGGGACUGAGAUACGGCCCAGACUCCUACGGGAGGCAGCAGUGGGGAAUAUUGCACAAUGGGCGGAAGCCUGAUGCAGCAACGCCGCGUGCGGGAUGACGGCCUUCGGGUUGUAAACCGCUUUCGCCUGUGACGAAGCGUGAGUGACGGUAAUGGGUAAAGAAGCACCGGCUAACUACGUG